rnacentral:rRNA from 1 species
AGAGUUUGAUCCUGGCUCAGGAUAAACGCUGGCGGCGUGCCUAACACAUGCAAGUCGAACGCGCAUGGAAACAUGCGAGUGGCGGACGGGUGAGGAACACGUGGGUUAUCUACCAAAAGGUGAGGAAUACCGGCGAGAAAUCGCCGACAAUACCGCAUAGGUUUGCCAAACAAACAAAGUCUUACGACGCCUUUUGAUGA